GAUGAGAUGGCUGAGCAGGGUAAAGCAGCAAUUUGCUAAAUUGUCGGGGGAUUAACCCCUGCAUGGGUUCAAAUCCCAUUCUUAUCG
rnacentral:tRNA from 1 species